rnacentral:misc_RNA from 1 species
GAUGAAGAACGAAGCGAAAUGCGAUAAGUAAUGUGAAUUGCAGAAUUCAGUGAAUCAUCGAAUCUUUGAACGCACAUUGCGCCCGCCAGUAUUCUGGCGGGCAUGCCUGUUCGAGCGUCAUUUCAACCAUCAAGCCCCCGGCUUGUGUUGGGGACCUGCGGCUGCCGCAGGCCCUGAAAAGCAGUGGCGGGCUCGCUGUCACACCGAGCGUAGUAGCAUACAUCUCGCUCUGGGCGUGCUGCGGGUUCCGGCCGUUAAACCACCUUCAUAACCCAAGGUUGACCUCGGAUCAGGUAGGAAGACCCGCUGAACUUAAGCAUAUCAAUAAGCGGAGGA